AAGGACUUAAGUUAAAUAAACUAUUAACCUUCAAAGUUAAAAAUAAAAUAAUAUUUUAGGCCUUA
rnacentral:tRNA from 1 species